GAGGUAGCCAACACUGUUUAUUUAUAUAUAUAUAUAUAUAUAUAUAUAUAUAUUUUUUUUUUUUAUUGGGGUAGCCCCCAAAAUAUUGGGGCAUAUAAAAAAAAAGACAACUCUGUUCUGCAGAGUAGCUGUUGACAUUAUAGUUGGGACCCUGAGAAAGGGCUACCACAUGCAAGGAAGGCAGCAGGCGCGCAAAUGACCCACUCCCGAGGCGGGAAGGUAG